GAUGAAGAACGUAGUGAAAUGCGAUAAGUAGUGUGAAUUGCAGAAUUCAGUGAAUCAUCGAAUCUUUGAACGCACAUUGCGCCCCUUGGUAUUCCAUGGGGCAUGCCUGUUCGAGCGUCAUUUGUACCUUCAAGCUUUGCUUGGUGUUGGGUGUUUGUCUCGCCUUUGCGUGUAGACUCGCCUUAAAAUAAUUGGCAGCCGGCGUAUUGAUUUCGGAGCGCAGUACAUCUCGCGCUUUGCACUCAUAACGACAGCGUCCAAAAGUACAUUUUACACUCUUGACCUCGGAUCAGGUAGGGAUACCCGCUGAACUUAAGCAUAUCAAUAAGCGGAGA
rnacentral:misc_RNA from 1 species